rnacentral:rRNA from 1 species
UACGUAGGGUGCGAGCGUUGUCCGGAAUUACUGGGCGUAAAGAGCUCGUAGGUGGUUUGUCGCGUUGUCCGUGAAAACUCACAGCUCAACUGUGGAACUGCCUCGGAUACUGGGUGCCUCGAGGGUGGUAGGGGUAUGCGGAACUAUCGGUGGAGCGGUGAAAUGCGUUGAUAUCGAUAGGAACUCCGGUGGCGAAGGCGGCUCACUGGCCCGGUACUGACGCUGAGGUGCGAAAGCGUGGGGAGCAAACAGG